AAAUAGAAAGCGAAAAUUUGCAUUCAGUUUCGACCUGAACCCUUGGUUAAAAACCUCUAUUUU
rnacentral:tRNA from 1 species